rnacentral:lncRNA from 1 species
UGUCAAGCCAGCCAUGCUUCACUGAACUCCCUUCCACUUUGUUGCCAUGCUUCCUCUUUCUGGUUAAGUGAACCUCAAAACAAUGACAAAGAAAUAUGCCCCCGAGUCACAUAUUCUAAGAAAUAGACUGUACUCUCCUCAAAUCGAAAUAAGGGCACUUUAAUUCUUUGGAUUUUUCCACAUUUUCGUUGCUAAAGCUCCUAUUUGCUUUCUUUGAAUCUGUAUCAGUUCAUGCAAGUUCUACCAGGGGGGGAAGCGACACAAGACCCUGCCACUUUAGCACGUGAAAUAUUAAGAUGAACAGAGCCCGUAAAAGGAUUAUGUAUUAUGGCCUGUGAUGUUUAUCAACUACUUCCUACUUGAUGAAACCUGAGAGUCAAGCCUCAUCUCCUUCUUUAGAAACUGCUCAGGGUCCUACUCUGCUUGCUUAGUUGCUUGUGAUUCCAUACUCAAGUGCGGAGAAAGGAAGCUCUACCUCCUGGAAGGGUAUAUCUCCAUUUUUUUUUUUUUUUUUGUAUUUGUGAUUAUUCUGUAAGGAAAAUGUGCCUUUUAUUUCCAUUUAUUUAUUUAUCCUGAUGCUGGGAAAGAUUGAAGGCCAAAGGAGAAGGGAGCGGCAGGGGAUGGGACGCUUAGGUAGCGUUACU